UACGGGGGGGGGCAAGCGUUGUUCGGAAUUACUGGGCGUAAAGGGCUCGUAGGCGGCCCACUAAGUCAGACGUGAAAUCCCUCGGCUUAACCGGGGAACUGCGUCUGAUACUGGAGGGCUUGAGUUUGGGAGAGGGAUGCGGAAUUCCAGGUGUAGCGGUGAAAUGCGUAGAUAUCUGGAGGAACACCGGUGGCGAAGGCGGCAUCCUGGACCAACACUGACGCUGAGGCACGAAAGCGUGGGGAGCAAACAGG
rnacentral:rRNA from 1 species